GAUGAACGCUGGCGGCGUGCCUAAUACAUGCAAGUCGAGCGAACAGACGAGGAGCUUGCUCCUCUGACGUUAGCGGCGGACGGGUGAGUAACACGUGGAUAACCUACCUAUAAGACUGGGAUAACUUCGGGAAACCGGAGCUAAUACCGGAUAAUAUAUUGAACCGCAUGGUUCAAUAGUGAAAGACGGUUUUGCUGUCACUUAUAGAUGGAUCCGCGCCGCAUUAGCUAGUUGGUAAGGUAACGGCUUACCAAGGCGACGAUGCGUAGCCGACCUGAGAGGGUGAUCCGCCACACUGGAACUGAGACACGGUCCAGCCUCCUACGGGAGGCAGCAGUAGGGAAACUGCCGCAAUGGGCGAAAGCCUGACGGAGCAACGCCGCGUGAGUGCUGAAGGUCUUCGGAUCGUAAAACUCUGUUAUUAGGGAAGAACAAAUGUGUAAGUAACUAUGCACGUCUUGACGGUACCUAAUCAGAAAGCCACGGCUAACUACGUG
rnacentral:rRNA from 1 species